GACGAACGCUGGCGGUGUGCUUAACACAUGCAAGUCGAACGGAAAGGCCCUGCUUUUGUGGGGUGCUCGAGUGGCGAACGGGUGAGUAACACGUGAGUAACCUGCCCUUGACUUUGGGAUAACUUCAGGAAACUGGGGCUAAUACCGGAUAGGAGCUCCUGCUGCAUGGUGGGGGUUGGAAAGUUUCGGCGGUUGGGGAUGGACUCGCGGCUUAUCAGCUUGUUGGUGGGGUAGUGGCUUACCAAGGCUUUGACGGGUAGCCGGCCUGAGAGGGUGACCGGCCACAUUGGGACUGAGAUACGGCCCAGACUCCUACGGGAGGCAGCAGUGGGGAAUAUUGCACAAUGGGCGGAAGCCUGAUGCAGCAACGCCGCGUGCGGGAUGACGGCCUUCGGGUUGUAAACCGCUUUCGCCUGUGACGAAGCGUGAGUGACGGUAAUGGGUAAAGAAGCACCGGCUAACUACGUGCCAGCAGCCGCGGUGAUACGUAGGGUGCGAGCGUUGUCCGGAUUUAUUGGGCGUAAAGGGCUCGUAGGUGGUUGAUCGCGUCGGAAGUGUAAUCUUGGGGCUUAACCCUGAGCGUGCUUUCGAUACGGGUUGACUUGAGGAAGGUAGGGGAGAAUGGAAUUCCUGGUGGAGCGGUGGAAUGCGCAGAUAUCAGGAGGAACACCAGUGGCGAAGGCGGUUCUCUGGGCCUUUCCUGACGCUGAGGAGCGAAAGCGUGGGGAGCGAACAGGCUUAGAUACCCUGGUAGUCCACGCUGUAAACGGUGGGUACUAGGUGUGGGGUCCAUUCCACGGGUUCCGUGCCGUAGCUAACGCUUUAAGUACCCCGCCUGGGGAGUACGGCCGCAAGGCUAAAACUCAAAGGAAUUGACGGGGCCCCGCACAAGCGGCGGAGCAUGCGGAUUAAUUCGAUGCAACGCGUAGAACCUUACCUGGGUUUGACAUGGAUCGGGAGUGCUCAGAGAUGGGUGUGCCUCUUUUGGGGUCGGUUCACAGGUGGUGCAUGGCUGUCGUCAGCUCGUGUCGUGAGAUGUUGGGUUAAGUCCCGCAACGAGCGCAACCCUUGUUCACUGUUGCCAGCACGUUAUGGUGGGGACUCAGUGGAGACCGCCGGGGUCAACUCGGAGGAAGGUGGGGAUGACGUCAAGUCAUCAUGCCCCUUAUGUCCAGGGCUUCACGCAUGCUACAAUGGCUGGUACAGAGAGUGGCGAGCCUGUGAGGGUGAGCGAAUCUCGGAAAGCCGGUCUCAGUUCGGAUUGGGGUCUGCAACUCGACCUCAUGAAGUCGGAGUCGCUAGUAAUCGCAGAUCAGCAACGCUGCGGUGAAUACGUUCCCGGG
rnacentral:rRNA from 1 species